rnacentral:rRNA from 1 species
GAUGAACGCUGGCGGCGUGCCUAAUACAUGCAAGUAGAACGCUGAAGGAGGAGCUUGCUCUUCUGGAUGAGUUGCGAACGGGUGAGUAACGCGUAGGUAACCUGCCUGGUAGCGGGGGAUAGCUAUUGGAAACGAUAGCUAAUACCGCAUGACAACAGUUAUUGCAUGAUAACUGUUUAAAAGGGGCAACUGCUCCACUACCAGAUGGACCUGCGUUGUAUUAGCUAGUUGGUGAGGUAACGGCUCACCAAGGCGACGAUACAUAGCCGACCUGAGAGGGUGAUCGGCCACACUGGGACUGAGACACGGCCCAGACUCCUACGGGAGGCAGCAGUAGGGAAUCUUCGGCAAUGGACGGAAGUCUGACCGAGCAACGCCGCGUGAGUGAAGAAGGUUUUCGGAUCGUAAAGCUCUGUUGUAAGAGAAGAACGAGUGUGAGAGUGGAAAGUUCACACUGUGACGGUAUCUUACCAGAAAGGGACGGCUAACUACGUG